ensembl:lncRNA
CUCAACCAAAUCAAGUGAUGCUCCCCUCAUAGGGACGGCAUGGAAGAGCACCAGUAAGCCAGUAACUCAGCCCCUGUAAUAGGGUUAGAGGCAGAGAAUCCCAGUGGAGAGAUGGGAACCGGCCAGGCAGAGACAGCAAGGGCGGUUCGUUUCUCCAGUGCCUUUCCGCUCAACUUCACACUCCUGGGCCAGACUGCACUCAAUCAUAGGACCUACUGAAGAGAUGAGUAUUCAAUAAAGACUUAACGGUUGAGAAUGAGUCUGUGUUUCUCACAUGGAUAGGCAGACCAUUCCAUGAAAAUGGAGCUCUAUAGGAGAAAGCCCUGCCUCCAGCUGUUUGCUUAGAAAUUCUAAGGACAGUAAGGAGGCCUGUGUCUUGUGACCGUAAGUCAGGGAUUUCCUCCUCUUCUUCCGAAGAGGAGAGGCGAAAAGGAUCAGAGGACCAAUAUGCGGCGUGGUAAGUGUCCAUGAUUCUUUUAAUAUGUAAAAUGUGCACAUGAACAACUGACUACAAAAACAAGAAACGUGUGAAACCUAAAACAGUCCUAUCUGGUGCAAAACACAGAGACAGGAACAAUCACCCACAAACACACAGUGAAACCCAGGCUACCUAAGUAUGAUUCUCAAUCAGAGACAACUAAUGACACCUGCCUCUGAUUGAGAACCAUACUAGGCCGAAACAUAGAAAUAUCCAAAUCAUAGAAAAUCAAACAUAGACUGCCCACCCAACUCACGCCCUGACCAUACUAACUAAAUACAAAACAAAGGAAAUAAAGGUCAGAACGUGACACCGUAGCGUACAUGUAGGUAUGUACGGCAGGACCAAAUCAGAAAGAUAGGUAGGAGCAAGCCCAUGUAAUGCUUUGUAGGUUAGCAGUAAAACCUUGAAAUCAGUCCUUGCCUUAACAGGAAGCCAGUGUAGGGAGGCUAGCACUGGAGUAAUAUUAUCAAAUUUAUUGGUUAUAGUCAAGAUUCUAGCAGGUGUGUUUAGCACUAACAGAGGUUUAUUAAGUGCUUUAUUCAGGUAACCUGAAAGUAGAGCAUUGCAGUAGUCUAACCUCGAAGUGAGAAAAGCAUGGAUUAAUUUUUCUGCAUCCGUUUUGGACAGAAAGUUUCUGGUUUUUGCAAUGUUACGUUCGUGAAAAGAGAGAUCAGGGUCCAGAGUAACACCGAGGUCCUUCACAGUUUUAUUUGAGAUGACUGUACAACCAUCAACAUUAAUUGUCAGAUUCAACAGAAGAUCUCUUUGUUUCUUGGGACCUAGAACAAGGAUCUCUGUUUUGUCCUAGGUUAAAAGUAGAACAUUUGUCAGUCAUCAUUCAGGUAGGUCCUAGCCAGUUAUCAUUCAGAUAAGUCCUCCUAGCAAGUCAUCAUUCAGGUAGGUCCUCCUAGUCAGUCAUCAUUCAGGUAGGUCUUAGUCAGUCAUAUUUCAGGUAGGUCAUCCUAGUCAGUCUUCAUUCAGGUAGGCCAUAGUCAGUAAUCAUUUAGGUAGGCCAUAGUCAAUCAUCAGUCAGGUAAGUCCUCCUAGCCAGUCAUCGUUUAGGUAGGUCCUCAUGGUCAGUCAUCAUUCAGGUAGAUUCUAGCCUGUCAUCAUUCAGGUAGGUCCUCCUAGCCAGUCAUCAUGCAGGUAGAUCCUCCUAGCCAGUCAUCAUUCAGGUAGGUCAUAGUCACUCGUCUUUCAGGUAGGUCAUAGUCAGUCACAGUGAUGAGAGGGCCUUGCUCUGUUUAUCUUUAGAAGGAUCUUAUCCUUCGUCUAGUUGUGUCUAGGGUUGCAAAAUUACAAGAACUUUAAAUAAUUUCCAUGGUUUUCCCAACAUCCCAGUUGGAGGAUCCCAGAACCAGGAGGAAAUAAGCAGGACAUCCGGAACCCUCCAACCAGGAUUUCUGGAAAACUAGGGAAUUUAUUGACAGUUCCCUGAAUUUUGUAACCCUAGUUGUGUCCCAAUAAAUGCAGAAGGAGCUGUGCCAGGAGAGGGCCUGUGGGAGUAUAGUGAUGAGAUUGACCACUCUCUCUGUGGUACAACUGCUGCUGACUCAUCCUGCACUACCUGCAGGACUCAGGCUUAGUACUCAUCACACACACACACACACACACAUUUCCCACAGAUGACAUGUUUGAACUGUCCUUGUGGUUGUCUCGGUGGGUGUAGGUUGACCAGUGAGGGUUUCAACAACUUGUUGUUAGUCUACUCCUCUCUGGUUCUGUUUGGCUUCAAGAGUGAAGAUCUGGAUGUCAAGGUAACAUACAUUUCAGCUCUCUUCAAAAUAAAACGGAGUCUUUCAAUUCAAUCUGAUAUGAAAUGUUAACAAAUGUUUUUUUUGCUGACCUAC